GAUUGCUGAUAAAAAUCCCUUCAAUAUCACUUAGUAUGCACUCUAAACACUUGACGGGCAGGAGAAGAUAAAAGUGCUCCCUCACUAUACCAAGAAGAGGCUGGAUGUGCUCUGAUGUUGCUGCCCCACAUGCUACAGUUGACAAGAUCCCUGUAUUAUCUGUUCUUUCCUCUAAAGGUCGUUAUAAAGCAUGCUUCUCUGAAAUGUUAUUUAGCCAUCUGAAAGACUUAUGUAUCAAUGAAAUCGCUCAAAAAUUAGAAAGCUGGCAAAUCAUUUUGUCUGUGAGGGGCCAUGCAAUUUGCCUCAGGUACAGAUGAGAAAGCAUGUGAGGCCAAGCACAGGUGGGUUUUACACUGGGGAGAACCAUCGGGAAACCCGCACAUGGCUCCACACGCUGCUCCUCUGCAAGACUUGGGCUGCUUGCGCUGUGCCACCUCUGCCUCAGGUACCAAAACGCCAGCGGGCAUGUGGCCACAGCUGUGCCCGUGGUCAUGAUCCCGCACUUGUGAAGUUGAACACUGAUUUUAUCUGACCAUGGGUCUGGCCUCUAGAAAACAAGCUCAUGGUGAAGACUUCAUCUCCUUAUCUCCAUGAUGUCCAAAGAACAGAUCUGUGGGAAGAAUCACAAGCUCUUUGCCACCUGUGAAAAGGCAAAAGACAGUGUGUGUGUGUGUGUGUGUGUGUGUGUGUGUGUGUUUGUACAUGAAUGUGAAAAUACCAGAUUCAAUACUGUAUCAGCAAACAGAAAUGAGAUCUACUUUCUUGACUUUUUUUAAUAACACUAAGCUGAGGCGAUGACACUCCUCUAGAAGUUCUGAAGGUCACAGACUCACCCUUGGUGUCAUCUGUCAUCUAGACCAAAAUGUGAAAUGAACAUUACUAUGUAUUAACUAUCAGGUUUCCCAUAACAGGAAACUUCUUGAGCUGAUCUGUUGGUAUCUAUGUUUUUGAUUAAUAUUUUUCCAUUUCUUGCAUCCAGACAUUUACUGCAUUUGAGUUUAUCUUUUUCCUUUCUUUCAUUCUUCUUUUUUCCAUUGGAGGAAUAAUUGCAGCUCUUUUCAAAUCUCCUAGGAAAUUUUUCAGCUAUGUAAAGUUAUAACAAGAUGUGACAUUCAGUCCUAGCUAAUCAGUGUUCAACACAGACCCACUACUGCAGUGCAGGGGGUGGCACUUUCAAUUUGCCCAUGACACUGACCAGGUUUUUAAGGAACAGUGAGUGAAGGGAGAAAACAGCAUAAAAAUGCUUAAAUUUUUAUAGAAAAGGUAUAACUUUGUAAGAAAGCACUAUCAUAAAUUCCCAAAAAGUAUAUCUUAAUGAUACACUUAGAGUAAAUCAUUUGCCUUGAGAGACAGGAGGUCUCUGGUGACCUGUAUGGCAGCCACAAGAGACUACCAGACUAGCUACUUUCAGCUAAAUGUACUCUCAUAUUAAUAUUUUAAAAUGCCAUAAUGCCUCUCUGAAAACCUCAGAGGACAGAUACAUCAAUUUGCAAGGUCUUCACUCCAGGAAAUAGAAACAGGGAUAAUCUGCCAUUAAAAGAAAUAGUUCAUUAUGUCUGCUUCUUGAGAGCACAUAAACUAUGUCCCUCACAUACUUAUGUUGCAAAUCCUCACUUUAAUGUGAAGGGAAACACCAUGCCCUAGAGCUUUAUUGUCCCACUGUUUAUUAGUACAAAAAGGUUUGUUGUGGUAUGAAAUCUUAAGCUUGUUGCAGUAAUCAAUCAGCUUCAAAGAGUCUCUUCCCUGAGCCAGAAUCAUUACAAAUAAAUCAAUUAAACAUAAAGUUUCUAUUUUCAGGAGGGUCACAAUAGAGAAAACCAGCAGUGCAUCAUAGUUAGAGAAAGGGAUUUUACUAGGUUGGGGCUUCUAGUACAAGACCCACUUUCUUUUUUUUUUUUUUUUUUUAUUGCAGAUGGUGAGAGAUUUAUUUUUUAUUCUAGUUAAAUCCAGAGUAUUCCUCUUUUAAAUGCCUAUUUCAGAAUGGGAAAUCUAUAUAUUUAUGAGAAAAAUAAAGACUACUACUUAACACUUCUCCAGCUGUAGAAAGGCAUAAGAAAUUAAUUUGCAUUGUUUUGGCCAUUAAGGACACAAAAUCAGAGAGGAAUGCUGCAAAUUGGAAUGUGUGUGUAAACUCAAUUUUUAUUUUAUUGGUUUAUCUUCUGGGAGAGGUACCAGGUAUUAGGACAUACAUGUGAAUUUCUGCCUUACCAUUGUUUAAAUAUGUUCCUGAGAUUUCCCAUAGUAUUAAACAAAUAACAAUGACACCAAUAGAAUAAACUAUUCUAUUCUGUUCUACUCCAUUCUAUUCUAUUUACCAGUUUAAUAAUAUUGUCACCUUUCUUCAGUGGGUAAACUGGCUACUCACUAUGUUUUGUUUAGCUGGAUUUUAAUUUAUUUUCUGGGAAAGGAAUGGAUACGUGGCUCUUUAAAAACACAUAGAUACUGCUUAUGCUUACUUUUGUCAAUGACAUGCCAAAGAAGGAGUCUUUUUGUCUUGAUACGGGAGGUAACGUUCUGACACUGAGAUCUGUGGUGAUCUUAAGUUUCAAAUUUAUAUGAUCAUAUACCAAGUGCUUAUUGCAAAAGACGUCUGACAUAUAUUCUACAUGUCAGUGUUCUGGGGAAAAAAAGAUGGGUUUAAGUGAAAUAGAACUGCUGCUUUUAAGUCCCUGCUUCUGCUGUACAGAUAGGAAGCUAUGUUGUAAAGGAGACAGAGAAAUACAGCAGAGAAAGGAUAGAUUUUGACGGAAACACUCCCCUGGAUAACUAGAGCCAGUUGCGAUUUCUGGCACACAGCCGUACUGUGGAUGAAGCAGGCAUAUGGUCAUAUACGGCUGCUGGGCAUAGUCUUGUUUUUCUGUGUACACAACCUGAGAUUUUCUAGGUAGAGCCUCAGGUCUGAUUUAUAACAAUGAUGAGGGAUUACAACAGAACUGAAAACCGAACAGUGCUCCAAGAACCAGGCUGAAGGCUUGCUGAAUCAGGUGUCUAAAUUGAUCAUUUUUGUUUGAUUUCUUUUGCAGAUUAAACUCAAUUUCGGCAGUUUUCUCCAUGAACAAAUUCAAAACAAAUAUUUUGUUUUGGAUCAACUCAAACAAAAUUGGCAUGUUUAUUUACUGCACUGAUGCCAAACAUUUUGUUCCAAUAAACCAGCCAGCUGUAUUUUCUGUCUGAGCACAUAGUACUGAGGAAAUUAUAGCCUGAGCUUACAGGCUGAGUUCCUUGAAGAGUUAUAUUUUCCAUUGCAAAAAGCAGUUUUCUUCUGAAUAAUGAUGCAUUAUCAGCUCACAUCACUGCUUGUGCAUCAUAGGAGACAACUUUUGACUUGACAGCAAAAAGGACAAACUGAUUCAACUACAGUGUUCAUUCAUCACACUUGACAGGGGUCCAUAGUUUUGAACAAUAAUCACCCUUACCUUCUAAAGGUCAUUUUUAAGCCUACAUAAAUCUGAAUAAUUUUCUAGUGGUGUUCAUAUCUUUCCAUUGGCAAUAGGUGGAAAUCAGGAUGUGUAGGUUAUUCAGUCAAACUGCUCAGUUAAUUCCUAGUGUUAUGUAGAAUGAAUCAGGAUUGGAGAAAUAGAUCCUGAAGCUCUUCCUAUCUUACUUUAUCUCCAGUCAAGGUAAUCUCCAGCUGAAUUGCAUUCUGCCUGUAACAAAAUAAAAACUAAGGUUACCAAUAUCAUCUGGAUUGUGGCAUGGAUGAUAACAUCCAUUCAAACUCAGUCUGUGGCAUUCUUACCUUU